UACGUAGGGGGCGAGCGUUGUCCGGAUUUAUUGGGCGUAAAGAGCGUGUAGGCGGCCAGGUAGGUCCGCUGUGAAAUCUCGAGGCUCAACUUCGAGCUGUCGGCGGAAACUAUCUGGCUAGAGUCCGGAAGAGGAGAAUGGAAUUCCUGGUGUAGCGGUGAAAUGCGCAGAUAUCAGGAAGAACACCCGUGGCGAAGGCGGUUCUCUGGGACGGUACUGACGCUGAGACGCGAAAGCGUGGGGAGCGAACAGG
rnacentral:rRNA from 1 species